UUGUACAGGGGGAUAACAGUUGGAAACGGCUGCUAAUACCGCAUAAGCGCACGGCAUCGCAUGAUGCAGUGUGAAAAACUCCGGUGGUAUAAGAUGGACCCGCGUUGGAUUAGCUAGUUGGUGAGGUAACGGCCCACCAAGGCGACGAUCCAUAGCCGACCUGAGAGGGUGACCGGCCACAUUGGGACUGAGACACGGCCCAAACUCCUACGGGAGGCAGCAGUGGGGAAUAUUGCACAAUGGGCGAAAGCCUGAUGCAGCGACGCCGCGUGAGCGAAGAAGUAUUUCGGUAUGUAAAGCUCUAUCAGCAGGGAAGAUAAUGACGGUACCUGACUAAGAAGCACCGGCUAAAUACGUGCCAGCAGCCGCGGUAAUACGUAUGGUGCAAGCGUUAUCCGGAUUUACUGGGUGUAAAGGGAGCGCAGGCGGUGCGGCAAGUCUGAUGUGAAAGCCCGGGGCUCAACCCCGGUACUGCAUUGGAAACUGUCGUACUAGAGUGUCGGAGGGGUAAGCGGAAUUCCUAGUGUAGCGGUGAAAUGCGUAGAUAUUAGGAGGAACACCAGCGGCGAAGGCGGCUUACUGGACGAUAACUGACGCUGAGGCUCGAAAGCGUGGGG
rnacentral:rRNA from 1 species